rnacentral:lncRNA from 1 species
AUGCCGAGAUCCGGCGUAGCGUUGGGUGUAAUCGAUGUUUGGUUGAUGAUAAUUAGAUCGAUGUCACCCAAGAGAUAUUCAGUCAAUGAUGUUGAUUAGAUGCUUCUCACCUGAGACUAAAACUAUGAUGAAGCAAACGUCUGCCCGAAUAUAAGCAAGGCUAUGAUGGCAAGAUCUGCCGUGUUGUUGCAACAUGCCCUAAUCGUUGCCGGCUGCCGUUCGCGGCUGUUCUAGGUAGCGUUGGGUGUAAUCGAUGUUUAGUUGAUGAUAAUUAGAUCGAUGUCACCUAAGGGAUAUUCAGUCAAUGAUGUUGAUGAGAUGCUUCUCACCUAAGUCUAAAACUAUGAUGAAGGAAACGUCUGCCCGAAUAUACGCGAGGGAUCGUGUAUAAUUGUUGUUACAUUUAUACAAGAAAAUGGAGUUUGGUUGGCCUGAGAUGCCUAUUUAGUUGUAUGUGAUGACGCUGGUGUUUGUGUGGCCAGUUUACUGUGAAUUUGGUUGAAUCAUCGUUUGUAAAUUGGUUCGUGUGGCCAUUGAUAUAAAGUGACUGUGAAGAUGUUAAGGUUGAAGCAACUGUCUCCUACAGAUCAGGUGGUUACUCUCAAUUCUCGAUUGUUGUUCAAUCAGAAAGAUAAG